AUGGCGCCGGAGACGAGGAGUGGGAGGUCGAGGGAGCCGCGCGCAUCGGAGACCGCGUCGCCGCCGCCGCCGCCGGCGCAGCGCCCUCGGCUCACGCGCGCCGGAAGCCGGGGGUAUGCGCCGACCCGUAGCCGCUCCGGCCAGGUUAAUGAGGAUGUCCAGAGCAGAUUCCCGCAUUUAGCAAGUUCGGUACAAAAUGAUGUUACGCAGUUAAAGGCGGCGACUGGAGAGGACGAGGGAGGCACGCCCAUCCAAGACCUUGUUGUCGUCGUUCCGCGGAUGACGAGGAGGAGGGCGAGGGAGGCAUGCGCGUCGGAGACCGCGUUGCCGUCGUUGCAGCGCACUCGACUCACGGGCGGCGGAAACAGGGGGGAGGCGCCUGCCAGUGGCCGCACCGGUAAGGUUAAUGAGGAUGUCGAGAGCAGAUUCCAGCAUUUGGCAAGUUCAGUACAAAAUGAUGUAGCCAUGGAGGCAUCACUGGAUUAUAUGUCUGGAAACGACUACACCGCAGCCUCUUCUUCGCGGAUGAUAAGCAUGGGCGAUGAAGCUGUACAACCGUUGUCACGUCAUGACGGUCCCAACACCUUGGGCACAUACAAGGAUGGGCAGGACAACUACACACCCACUGGUCAUGAUGAGUCCGGUACCGCCACAAAUCCUGAAGACGCAACCGAUCGCGACGAAGGGACCGGCCAAGGGGACCAGGCAGCUGGACAACCCAAAAGGCAACGCAAGCCUAGGAGCCGAAACAAGCUUGGCACCAAUAGGAUUGUUAUCAACCGAGUGUCUGAGGCGGGUCUACCUGUUAGUCCCAAGAAGGCCGAACAAGGUUACAGGAAUGCCCUAGGUUGCAUCCUUCGCGAAACCGUGAGCAUCAAUGAAACCAAUCUCAGGUCGAAAGCGAACGAGAAUUUGCGAGCGCUCCUCAUAUCGAAGCUGCACACUCAUUACAAGUUCCCGGAUGAGUCCCUAGACGAGACCACUCCGGUAAAUAACAGAGCCCUCUGCAAGUGGUCCAAGCUUUUGAGUAGUUGGAAAUCCAAGGCCAAAAGCGAAUACCUUAAGAAAGAUUACGAAACCGAGAUAAAAAAGAUCUGGCCUUUGGUUUCCGAGGAGGACUGGAACCUGUUCAAGCAGCACUGUGAGACCCCUGAAGUCAAGGAGAUGGAAAAAUGGGGAAAGGAUAUGUGGGCUAAGAGCCGUGGUUACCCAGGGAAGAAGCCAAAGUGGGACAAGCAGGACACUGAGUUUGCUGCAGCAGGCAACUAUCCUGUCAUGGUGCCAGAGACGAGGAGUAGGAGGGUGCACGCAUCCGAGACCGCGUUGUCCUCGGCGCAGCGCCCUCGACUCACGCGAGGGUGGAUGCGCCAACCAGUGGCCGCUCCGGUUAAUGAGGAUGUCGAGAGCAGAUUCCAGCAUUUGGCAAGUUCGGUACAAACUGAUGUUACCCAGUUAGAGGUGGCGACCGGAGGGGACGGGGGAGAUGCGCGCAUCCAAGACCUUGUUGCCGUCGUUCCGCCGUUGACGAGGAGGAGGACGAGGGAGGCGUGUGCAUCAGAGACCGUGUUGCCGCCAUUGCAGCGCACUCGACUCACACGCGGCGGAAGUAGGGGGGAGGUGCUGACCAGUGGCCGCUCCGAUAUGUCUGGAAACGACUCCGCCGCAGCCUCUUCUUCACGGACGAUAAGCGCGGGCGAUGAAGCUGUAGAACCGUCAUCACGUCAUGGUGAUCCCGAUGCCUUGGGCACAUACAUGGAUGGGCAGGACGACUACACAUCCACUGUUCAUGAUGAGUCCGGCACCGCCACAAAUCCUGAAGAUGCGACCGAUCGUGACGAAGGGACCGGCCAAGGGGACCAGGCAGCUGGACAACCUAAAAAGCAACGGAAACCUAGGCGCCCAAACAUGCUUGGCACCGAUAGGAUUGUUAUCAACCGAGUGUCUGAGGCGGGUCUACCUCUUAGUCCCAAGAAGGCCGAACAAGGUUACAGUAAUGGCCUAGGCUGCAUCCUUCGCGAAACCGUGAGCAUUAAUGAAACCAAUCUCAGGUCGAAAGCCAACGAGAAUUUGCGAGCACUCCUCAUAUCGAAGUUGCACACUCAUUACAAGUUCCCGGAUGAGUCCCUAGACGAGACCACUCCGGUAAAUAACACAGCCCUCUGCAAGUGGACCAAGCUUUUGAGUACAUGGAAAUCCAAAGCCAAAAGCGAAUACCUUGAGAAAGAUUACGAAACCGAGAUAAAAAAGAAGUGGCCUUCGGUUUCUGAGGAGGACUGGAACCUGUUCAAGCGGCACUGCGAGACCCCUGAAGUCAAGGAGAUGGAGAAAUGGGGGAAGGAAAUGCGGGCAAGGAACAUUGGUCACCACACCCUUGGGAGCCGUGGUUAUCCAGGGAAGAAGCCGAAGUGGGACAAGCAGGACGCUGAGUUUGCUGCAGCAGGCAUACCAAACCCCUUCAAGGAAUUUGAAAACCCGCGUGAAAAUGAUUACAUCAGGGGCCGGUGCAAAUACGAUGAAGAGACUAAGACAUGGGUCUUGGACGAGAAAACGGCGAAAGUCAAGGAACUCCUGAGGCAGUAUCAUGUGGAAUCUCAAAGCUCCCAGGAGUCAGAGUCCUCGGCAAGGUGGGACGACCCUCUAAACAGGUCGAUCAACGUGGUGCUCGGCAAGGACCCGAAAACGAGGCCGGCUUAUGGUCGCGUGAACGGCGUUGGGCUCAACGGAAAAUGGGACACACACUAUCCCGAAGACCGCGAGCUUGCGAGGCAGAGAAGGAGAGCCGGCCGAGCUAGUUUUGAAUCCAGAUUGGCUGGAAUGAGAGAAGAACUUAAAGAAGAAAUGAGAGAGGAAGUCGAGGUGAAAGCCAAAGCCAUGGCGACAGCCCAAGUCAUGGAAAUGUGGCCCGAUCUAAUUGAGGCCGUCAAGCGAAGUUUAGCAUCGGGUCAAACAGCGGCACCAUCAUCCUCUGUCACAUUGGCGCCGGCCAAUGUUAUUUUGGAGAAAGAGCCGCGUCCUGGUGCACAUCAUAGCAGCCGCUCUGUCCCUUUCAUGGGCUAG
rnacentral:rRNA from 1 species